AUAGCUUAACUAUGAAACUGCCAUUGAUACUGCGGGUCUUGAGUAAGGUAGAGGUAGCUGGAAUAAGUAGUGUAGCGGUGAAAUGCAUAGAUAUUACUUAGAACACCAAUUGCGAAGGCAGGUUACCAUGUCUUAACUGACGCUGAUGGACGAAAGCCGUGGGGAGCGAACAGGAUUAGAUACCCUGGUAGUCCACGCCGUAAACGAUGCUAACUCGUUUUUGGGUUUUCGGAUUCCAGAGACUAAGCGAAAGUGAUAAGUUAGCCACCUGGGGAGUACGUUCGCAAGAAUGAAACUCAAAGGAAUUGACGGGGGCCCGCACAAGCGGUGGAUUAUGUGGUUUAAUUCGAUGAUACGCGAGGAACCUUACCAAGGCUUAAAUGGGAAUUGACAGGUUUAGAAAUAGACUUUUCUUCGGACAAUUUUCAAGGUGCUGCAUGGUUGUCGUCAGCUCGUGCCGUGAGGUGUUAGGUUAAGUCCUGCAACGAGCGCAACCCCUGUCACUAGUUGCCAUCAUUCAGUUGGGGACUCUAGUGAGACUGCCUACGCAAGUAGAGAGGAAGGUGGGGAUGACGUCAAAUCAUCACGGCCCUUACGCCUUGGGCCACACACGUAAUACAAUGGCCAGUACAGAGGGCAGCUACCAGGUGACUGGAUGCGAAUCUCGAAAGCUGGUCUCAGUUCGGAUUGGAGUCUGCA
rnacentral:rRNA from 1 species